rnacentral:rRNA from 1 species
GUGGGGAAUCUUGCGCAAUGGGCGAAAGCCUGACGCAGCCAUGCCGCGUGAAUGAUGAAGGUCUUAGGAUUGUAAAAUUCUUUCACCGGGGACGAUAAUGACGGUACCCGGAGAAGAAGCUCCGGCUAACUUCGUGCCAGCAGCCGCGGUAAUACGAAGGGGGCUAGCGUUGCUCGGAAUUACUGGGCGUAAAGGGCGCGUAGGCGGACAGCUUAGUCAGAGGUGAAAGCCCAGGGCUCAACCUUGGAAUUGCCUUUGAUACUGGCUGUCUUGAGUACGGGAGAGGUGAGUGGAACUCCGAGUGUAGAGGUGAAAUUCGUAGAUAUUCGGAAGAACACCAGUGGCGAAGGCGACUCACUGGCCCGUUACUGACGCUGAGGCGCGAAAGCGUGGGGAGCAAACAGGAUUAGAUACCCUAGUAGUCC